UACGAAGGGGGCUAGCGUUGUUCGGAAUCACUGGGCGUAAAGCGCACGCAGGCGGAUCGUUAAGUCAGGGGUGAAAUCCCGAGGCUCAACCUCGGAACUGCCUUUGAUACUGGCGAUCUUUGAGUCCGGGAGAGGUGAGUGGAACUCCGAGUGUAGAGGUGAAAUUCGUAGAUAUUCGGAAGAACACCAGUGGCGAAGGCGGCUCACUGGCCCGGUACUCGACGCUCAUGUGCGAAAGCGUGGGGAGCGAACAGG
rnacentral:rRNA from 1 species